UUCCCCUAUGGGAGGCAGCAGUGAGGAAUAUUGGUCAAUGGGAGAGAUCCUGAACCAGCCAAGCCGCGUGAGGGAAGACGGCCCUAUGGGUUGUAAACCUCUUUUGUCGGAGAACAAAACCCGGGACGUGUCCCGGACUGCGUGUAUCCGAAGAAAAAGCAUCGGCUAACUCCGUGCCAGCAGCCGCGGUAAUACGGAGGAUGCGAGCGUUAUCCGGAUUUAUUGGGUUUAAAGGGUGCGUAGGCGGUCCGUUAAGUCAGCGGUAAAAAUGCGGUGCUCAACGCCGUACAGCCGUUGAAACUGGC
rnacentral:rRNA from 1 species